UACGUAGGGGGCAAGCGUUGUCCGGAAUCAUUGGGCGUAAAGCGCGUGUAGGCGGUUCGAUAAGUCUGCUGUGAAAGUCCAGGGCUCAACCCUGGGAUGCCGGUGGAUACUGUCGAACUAGAGUACGGAAGAGGCGAGUGGAAUUCCCGGUGUAGCGGUGAAAUGCGCAGAUAUCGGGAGGAACACCAAUUGCGAAGGCAGCUCGCUGGGACGUCACUGACGCUGAGACGCGAAAGCGUGGGGAGCAAACAGG
rnacentral:rRNA from 1 species